rnacentral:rRNA from 1 species
AGCAGUCGCCGCGGGAAUACGUAGGGUGCAAGCGUUAAUCGGAAUUACUGGGCGUAAAGCGUGCGCAGGCGGUUAUAUAAGACAGAUGUGAAAUCCCCGGGCUCAACCUGGGAACUGCAUUUGUGACUGUAUAGCUAGAGUACGGCAGAGGGGGAUGGAAUUCCGCGUGUAGCAGUGAAAUGCGUAGAUAUGCGGAGGAACACCGAUGGCGAAGGCAAUCCCCUGGGCCUGUACUGACGCUCAUGCACGAAAGCGUGGGGAGCAAAACAGGAUUAGAUACCCCUGUAGUCCCUGUCUCUUAUA